GCGACCUUCCUGCCACUACGCUGCAACCAGGCGGCCCACGGUGCGGCCACUUUGGGUUGCUAAAUAUCUAGAUACUUCCGGCCCGCAUUGCCAGGUCCACUAGGCAUCCCCGCCGUCCGGUAAGUACCGUCGCGCUGCCUGGCGGCCGAGUCUUCUGCGUGUGGCCCCCCUCACCUCCCGGCCCCGCCGUGGGAUCCGUCAAGCUAGAACUUUCCACGAGCCAAGCCCUUGGGACGGCGCCUGCCACCGGAUGAACACUCGAACUAUUUACAAGAGGUGGACAUCAGCAAUACAGAGAUCAAAUGAGAGAGGCCUCAUCAGAGGGGAGUCGAUGGAGAAAACGGGCAGUCCUACACGUUUGCGGAGAGGAAGUGGUAAUAACCGUUACCGGUGACAACGCAGACGGUGCACGCGACGACGACAGACGAGGAUGGGGGAGAGGAGUUAUGUGCAAAGUGCUCUUGUUCCCAAGCGACAUUCACCUGCUCGGGCUUCGUGGAACUUACGGGGAAUUCUUAACUACUCAGCUUUAAAAAAGUAAGACUUGGAAGGCCAACAUGCUUUAGUAUCAACUGUGCUCCAGUGAACCCCAUGCUUGGUUGGAUGGAGAGUAUG